rnacentral:lncRNA from 1 species
GGCAGCAAAAUCGGAGUAACGAAGCAAUAAGUGGGGAACAAGAGACAAUAGGGAGAGCAGGGCGGCAAAAUGACAGGCUCCGACGUCUAUCGAUGUGGCUGAAGGGUUUCCAGAAAAUGAAAUUGGUGGAUCAUUAUAGCAGACCCAACCCACGAGAAAAAGUAACCAUUCCAGUCCAACAUGUGUCUAAAGCGUGUAC